rnacentral:tRNA from 1 species
GGGCGCAUAGCUCAGCUGGUUCAGAGCACCUGCCUUACAAGCAGGGGGUCGGAGGUUCGAAUCCUUCUGCGCCCA